CCAAUCGUUAGACUGCUAUGCUUGCUACGAAAUAAUAAAGUUUUGGAGCCACCGUAGAACUUCUUAACUCCAAAGCAACUUCUAUCCCAUGUUAUUAACAGAUAUUUAUAAAUAUUUGCAAUGAUGGGACAAGAUGCAUUCAUCGAGACGUUCAAACGUUUCCCAUUUAUGAGAAAUGUCCUCGAGUGUCUCACACAAAGAUGGGAUGCAUUGCGAAAUGCAUUUCUCGUUCUUAUUCAACCAACUAUUUCCUUUAUUGAGAUUACUAAAAUUUACCUGCUGAAGCGUUGUCAAAAGUCCAGAAUCACCAGGUGGCAAACGAAUAUGUUUAAAGGCAUUGUAACCUUGUAAACGUUGCAGAAUCAACACCAAUAGUUCUGCACCGGCACCAGGUACACGUGUCAGCAUGAUGAAAGACGAUGAAGAGAGAAGGACGUAUUAAAAAAAAAAAGUAGCCUUGCAAUUGGAAAAAUCUACACCUCAGAAACGUGAGAAAGAAACAUAUAAAGCGUGAGAAGAUCGCCUCGACGCGAUUGCAUCCUAUGAUGAUGCACUUUCACUGGAGACACGUUCCUCUAUUGAAGCAAAGUCGAAUAGAGGAUCGUGACUUCUUCAAAAUGACAAC